CUUCAUCUUCCGCCAUGGUUAUGAGGCCUCCCCAGCCAUGCAGAACUAUGAGUCCAUUAAACCUCUUUCCUUUAUAAAUUACCCACUCUCAGGUAUGUCUUUAUCAGCAGUAUGAAAAUGGACUAAUACAUUCCUUUUUAAAAAUAAAUUACCCAGUUUCAAGUAUUCUGUUAUAAGGUACAAAAAACAAAGACACUGGUUUAAGCCCAAUCAGUCCAGCAAACUUCUGCUUCAGCGCAUCCAGGACAGUUUCCAAGGCCAGACUCUUUGGACCAUCCUGGGUCCCAGGCCCUUCCUGAAUCAAUCAUUAUGGCCAGGAUGUGGCACUGGCAGACUGGUUGGGCCUGGUGGAUGAAGUCCCUAUCUACAAAUGGGUGAGGGGGAGUCCCCAGAGGAAAAUCAGGCACUGUCACUAGACAAAGGGGCCAUGAGCACAGGCAGACAGGAAACAGACAUCUCUGCAGGUGCCUCAGGGACUACACUGAGAGCCAGGGGGCUGAGGGCUCAGGAGACCUUUCUUUCCUUCCCCCCAUUCAGCCACAUCACCUUCAGCUAUUUUAUAUAUUGGUCCUCUGGGUAAGAAUUUUUUUAAGAAACAGCUUCUGCUGCUAAGUGAGUCUGCACAUGCCUGAUGUGGACUAAGGGGAAGUGUCCAGAGAGAAAGCCAUGAAUGAGGGACAAGAACCUGUAUUUUGCAGAGAAUCAUGGCAAGGAGGCUCUGAGAAGCUCCCAGCCAUGUUUCCUGAGGCCUCCUCAGAAGCCAAGCAGAUGCCAACGUCAUGCUUCCUGUACAGCCUGCAGAACCAUGAGUCAAUUAAACCUCUUUUCUUUAUAAAUUAUGCAGUCUCAGGUAUUUCUUCACAGCAAUGAGAGAACGGACUAAUCCAAAGAAAAAGACCCAUCUUCAAGGCACUUACAUUCUAAUUAUCCAGGCAGCAACAUGUAAG
rnacentral:lncRNA from 10 species